AAGAAGUCUGGCUACACACUUUGUUAGUGGUUGGGGGAGGGCAGUUAUAGAUCCAACUAAUUCUUAAUCUUCCAGGCUAUGAUGCUCUUCAAUGUGCAAGUUUCUCUGUGAUACAUUCCCCUCUCAUUUAGGCCCAAAUAUAUUCCUGAAAAAACUAUUCCUAAAGGCCCUCAAUUCAUGAUCCUCAAAGUGAGAGACCAGGUUUGACACCCAGACAGCACAACUUGCAAAAUUACAAGUCAAUUUUGACGGGUCCAGUGACAGAGGAACUCUGUCCGACCUAUCCGAGUAAGUGCCCUUCCCAAGAUAAACCGAGGAAGUUGAUCCAGCUUACGAAAGGCAGUGUUUUUUUGAAGAAGAAAAAACAGACGAUUGACAUAGUCCAAGAAUUUAGUGUUCCCGAUGCCAAAAUUACACUUUUGUGUACUUUAGUCUUUGUUAUUAUAUUAGGCAGAAGAAAAUAUAUUGGACUCAAAAAUAGCAAGCAUCCCCUGAAUUUAAACUUCUAUGGAUUUCAUCAUGAAAUGUCAAACUGAUUUGUUAGUGUAAUAUAUAUUAUUAGUAGUGUUUAUAAUUUGCGAAUUAUUCAGCAGUUAUUUGAUUUUUACCUUUACUAAUUAUAAGCACAUGUGCAUACCUGUAACCCGUUCACGUAGCGAAAAAAGUGACAUACUGCUCAGAUGUAUUUUGCGUCUGAAUUGGUUGCCGAUUGACAUGGCGUGGAAAUAAUAUAGUGGAGAAAUAUGUUUUAAAAUAUAGUUCAGCUGGGAAAUAUUAUUUUAAAAACAGUUUAUUAUUUGUGCCAAAGCUUUUGUACAAAUAGUGUGUUGAUAAAUACAGGUUAUUUUGACUGCACUAAGGCUCAAAGUGAGGUUAUACUCAUUAGUUCAGUGAGUUCAACAUAAUGUCGUUUAUGAAGAUGAGCUAGAAGCUGAAAGAACAAAGUUAUCUUCAUCUAGAGUUGUUUAUGUUUGCGACCUGCGGCUUUUUUAAAUAGUGUCACAAAAUUCCUAGCACCUGUGGAAGGCAGAACAUUGUUAUAAUCAAAAUGGAAAAUGACGUUGAUACUCUGAGUGAAAAAGAUUGCAUUGCCAUGGUAACUGAUGAGGUUAAUGUUCAAUCAGCACUUUCCAUAACGGAAGAUGAAACUGAGAUAUUGACUGAAUUAUUCAAUGAUAUUUAGACGACUUCAGCUAUAAAGGGUUAGGGGAAGAAAAUUCAUUGAUGCUUUUUGACUGUUGGGUACAGAGCACAAUAUUUGGAACAGUGAAGGAAAUAAUGGGGACUGGAGAAGA